UGGCUCAAUGGUAGAGUGCUUGCCUGGCAUGCAUGAGGCCCUAGGUUCAAUUCCUUA
rnacentral:tRNA from 1 species